rnacentral:rRNA from 1 species
GACGAACGCUGGCGGCGUGCUUAACACAUGCAAGUCGAACGGAAAGGCCCUGCUUUUGUGGGGUGCUCGAUUGGCGAACGGGUGAGUAACACGUGAGUAUCCUGCCCUUGACUUUGGGAUAACUUCAGGAAACUGGGGCUAAUACCGGAUAGGAGCUCCUGCUGCAUGGUGGGGGUUGGAAAGUUUCGGCGGUUGGGGAUGGACUCGCGGCUUAUCAGCUUGUUGGUGGGGUAGUGGCUUACCAAGGCUUUGACGGGUAGCCGGCCUGAGAGGGUGAACGGCCACAUUGGGCCUGAGAUACGGCCCAGACUCCUACGGGAGGCAGCAGGGGGGAAUAUUGCAGAAUGGGCGGAAGCCUGAUGCAGCAACGCCGCGUGCGGGAUGACGGCCUUCGGGUUGUAAACCGCUUUCGCCUGUGACGAAGCGGGAGUGACGGUAAUGGGUAAAGAAGCACCGGCUAACUACGUG